rnacentral:lncRNA from 1 species
GUGAAUAAACUUUUAGAAGCUAACCUUGGGAGAAGGUAGAGACUGGAAGGGAUCACAAGAAAGGCUUCUGGGAUGUUGUUGAUUUCUCUAAGAAGUAUAUGCUGAAAUGAAGUUAAGAGUACAAAAUAUUUAUCGGAGAGUAGUAACACAGAGGAGACACAGGAUUUGGCAGAAAUACUAAACCAUGGUGAAGACCGGCUAAAGUCUGUUUGUCCAAAGGGGAGCUCUAAAGUAAAUAUGAGCCAUUAAGGGAGCCCCACACUGGAUGGAAAUGGCCAAGCCCUUUUACAACCACCUUCUCCUUGAGACACUGCCUGCAAUUCACCCUGGGAAAGCAAAACCUCAACUGUUUCUGCCUCAUUCAUUCUUU